rnacentral:tRNA from 1 species
AGGGCCGUAGCGCAGAGGCAGGCGCAUUGGACUGCGGAUCCGAAGCACGCCGGUUCGAAUCCGGCCGCCCUG